AGCAGCCGCGGUAAUUCCAGCUCCAAUAGCGUAUAUUAAAGUUGUUGCAGUUAAAAAGCUCGUAGUUGAAUUUUGGGUUUGGCCAAUUGGUCCGUUCUUGUAACGAGUACUGGUUGGUUGGGCCUCACCGCCUGGUGAUACGUAAUGUCCUUUAUUGGGUGUUGCGAGUAGCCAGGACCUUUACCUUGAAAAAAUUAGAGUGUUUAAAGCAGGCUUAUGCCGGAAUACAUUAGCAUGGAAUAAUAGAAUAGGACGAUGAUUCUAUUUUGUUGGUUUCUAGGAGCAUCGUAAUGAUUAAUAGGGAUAGUUGGGGGCAUUAGUAUUCAAUUGUCAGAGGUGAAAUUCUUGGAUUUAUUGAAGACUUAACUACUGCGAAAGCAAUUUGCCAAGGA
rnacentral:rRNA from 1 species